rnacentral:ncRNA from 1 species
GAAAAUGCUAAGAUGGGUGUUAUAAACCCUUUAAACACACAGGUCUGGUCCCAGCCUUAAAAUCAACUAUUACUUAAAUUACACAUGCGAGUCUCCGCACCCCCGUGAAAAUGCCCUUAUUACCCACCCGGGAUAAGGAGCCGGUAUCAGGCACAAAAAAUUUGCCAAAGACACCUAGCCACGCCACACCCACAAGGGCCCUCAGCAGUGAUAAAAAUUGUUUAUGAGCGCAAGCUUGACCCAGUCAAAGUAAAAAGGGCCGGCAAAUCUGGUGCCAGCCGCCGCGGUUACACCAUUGGCCCAAAUUGAUUUCAACCGGCGUAAAGCGUGAUAAAACCUAUUACACUAGAGUUAAACCUAAACUAAGCCGUCAAAAGCUCGUGUUUUGGAAAACCAAAAACGAAAGUUACUCUAUCAAUACUACUUGAACUCACGAAAGCUUGACCACAAACUAAGAUUAGAUACCUUACUAUGCAAGCCGUAAACUUUUAUUUACACCCUUAUCGCCAGGGUACUACGAGCAAAGCUUGAAACCCAAGGGACUUGACGGUACCCCACAUCCCCCUAGAGGAGCCUGUCCUAUAAUUGAUAACCCCCGUUAAACCUCACCACCAUUAGCUUAUUCAGUCUGUAUACUUCCGUCGCCAGCUUACCCCGUGAGCGAAAUCCAGUCAGCACAAUGUCUGCCCGCCAGUACGUCAGGUCAAGGUGCAGCAAACAUGGUGGGAAGAGAUGGGCUACACUUUCUAAUUUAGAAAAAACGAAAGACUCACAUGAAAACAAGUCUGAAGGCGGAUUUAGUAGUAAAAAGAAAAUAGAGUGUUCUUUUUAAUCAGGCCCUGGGGUGUGUACACACCGCCCGUCACCCUCUUCGUCGCAUUCAACCCAGUAAUUAACAUACCACAGCACUAUAGAAGAGGCAAGUCGUAACAUGGUAAGGAUACCGGAAGGUGUUCUUGGAUACGAAACAUAGCUUAACUAAAGCAUAUUGCUUACAC